rnacentral:rRNA from 1 species
GAUUAACGCUGGCGGCGUGCAUAACACAUGCAAGUCGAACGAUGAAACUUUUUUGAUUUCUUCGGAAUGAUUAAAAGUGGAUUAGUGGCGGACGGGUGAGUAACGCGUGAGUAACCUGCCUUAGAGAAGGGGAUAGCCUUUGGAAACGAAGAAUAAUACCCUAUGAAACCAUAACCUCGCAUGAGGAAUUGGUCAAAGAUUUAUCGCUCUAAGAUGGACUUGCGUCUGAUUAGUUAGUUGGUGGGGUAACGGCCCACCAAGACAGCGAUCAGUAGCCGGCUUGAGAGAGUGUACGGCCACAUUGGGACUGAGACACGGCCCAGACUCCUACGGGAGGCAGCAGUGGGGAAUUUUGCACAAUGGGGGAAACCCUGAUGCAGCGACGCCGCGUGAUUUAGAAGGCCUUCGGGUUGUAAAAAUCUUUUCUAUGGGAAGAAAAUGACAGUACCAUAGGAAUAAGGACCGGCUAAUUACGUG